rnacentral:rRNA from 1 species
GAUGAACGCUGGCGGCGUGCCUAAUACAUGCAAGUCGAGCGAACGGAUAAGGAGCUUGCUCCUUUGAAGUUAGCGGCGGACGGGUGAGUAACACGUGGGUAACCUACCUAUAAGACUGGAAUAACUUCGGGAAACCGGAGCUAAUGCCGAAUAACAUAUAGAACCGCAUGGUUCUAUAGUGAAAGAUGGUUUUGCUAUCACUUAUAGAUGGACCCGCGCCGUAUUAGCUAGUUGGUAAGGUAAUGGCUUACCAAGGCGACGAUACGUAGCCGACCUGAGAGGGUGAUCGGCCACACUGGAACUGAGACACGGUCCAGACUCCUACGGGAGGCAGCAGUAGGGAAUCUUCCGCAAUGGGCGAAAGCCUGACGGAGCAACGCCGCGUGAGUGAUGAAGGUUUUCGGAUCGUAAAACUCUGUUAUUAGGGAAGAACAUAUGCGUAAGUAACUGUGCGCAUCUUGACGGUACCUAAUCAGAAAGCCACGGCUAACUACGUGCCAGCAGCCGCAGUAA